rnacentral:rRNA from 1 species
AUUGAACGCUGGCGGCAGGCCUAACAUAUGCAAGUCGAACGGUAACAUUUCUAGCUUGCUAGAAGAUGACGAGUGGCGGACGGGUGAGUAAUGCCUGGGAAUAUGCCUUUGCGAGGGGGAUAACCAUUGGAAACGAUGGCUAAUACCGCAUAAUGUUUACGGACCAAAAGUGGGGACUUGUUUCUCACGCGCAAAGAGUAGCCCAGGUGAGAUUAGCUAGUUGGUGAGGUAAAGGCUCACCAAGGCGACGAUCUCUAGCUGUUCUGAGAGGAAAGAUCAGCCACACUGGGACUGAGACACGGCCCAGACUCCUACGGGAGGCAGCAGUGGGGAAUAUUGCACAA